AGUAAAUAGAUACCCGGGUAGUCCACGCCGUAAACGAUGAAUACUAGGUGUAGGGGUUGUCAUGACCUCUGUGCCGCCGCUAAACGCAUUAAGUAUUCCGCCUGGGGAGUACGGUCGCAAGAUUAAAACUCAAAGGAAUUGACGGGGGCCCGCACAAGCAGCGGAGCAUGUGGUUUAAAUUCGAAGCAACGCGAAGAACCUUACCUAGACUUGACAUCUCCUGAAUUACUCUGUAAUGGAGGAAGCCACUUCGGUGGCAGGAAGACAGGUGGUGCAUGGUUGUCGUCAGCUCGUGUCGUGAGAUGUUGGGUUAAGUCCCGCAACGAGCGCAACCCUUAUUGUUAGUUGCUACCAUUUAGUUGAGCACUCUAGCGAGACUGCCCGGGUUAACCGGGAGGAAGGUGGGGAUGACGUCAAAUCAUCAUGCCCCUUAUGUCUAGGGCUACACACGUGCUACAAUGGUCGGUACAAUGAGAUGCAACCUCGCGAGAGUGAGCAAAACCUAUAAAACCCGGAUCUCAGUUCGGAUUGUAGGCUGAAAC
rnacentral:rRNA from 1 species